rnacentral:rRNA from 1 species
AAUAUUAGUCAAUGGGGGGAACCCUGAACUAGCAACGCCGCGUGAAGGAAGAAGGUCUUCGGAUUGUAAACUUUUGUCUUCAGGGACGAAACAAAUGACGGUACCUGAAGAGGAAGCCACGGCUAACUACGUGCCAUCAGCCGCGGUAAUACGUAGGUGGCAAGCGUUGUCCGGAAUUACUGGGUGUAAAGGGUGCGUAGGCGGGUAUGUAAGUCAGGUGUGAAAUUCCGAGGCUCAACUUCGGACCUGCAUUUGAAACUACAUAUCUUGAGUGAAGGAGAGGUAAGUGGAAUUCCCAGUGUAGCGGUGAAAUGCGUAGAUAUUGGGAGGAACACCAGUGGCGAAGGCGACUUACUGGACUUUAACUGACGCUGAUGCACGAAAGCGUGGGUAGCAAACAGG